GACGAACGCUGGCGGCGUGCUUAACACAUGCAAGUCGAACGGAAAGGCCCUGCUUUUGUGGGUUGCUCGAGUGGCGAACGGGUGAGUAACACGUGAGUAACCUGCCCUUGACUUUGGGAUAACUUCAGGAAACUGGGGCUAAUACCGGAUAGGAGCUCCUGCUGCAUGGUGGGGGUUGGAAAGUUUCGGCGGUUGGGGAUGGACUCGCGGCUUAUCAGCUUGUUGGUGGGGUAGUGGCUUACCAAGGCUUUGACGGGUAGCCGGCCUGAGAGGGUGACCGGCCACAUUGGGACUGAGAUACGGCCCAGACGCCUACGGGAGGCAGCAGGGGGGAAUAUUGCACAAUGGGCGGAAGCCUGAUGCAGAAACGCCGCGUGCGGGAUGACGGCCUUCGGGUUGUAAACCGCUUUCGCCGGUGACGAAGCGUGAGUGACGGUAAUGGGUAAAGAAGCACCGGCUAACUACGUG
rnacentral:rRNA from 1 species